GAUGAACGCUGGCGGCGUGCCUAAUACAUGCAAGUCGAGCGAACAGAUGAGGAGCUUGCUCCUCUGACGUUAGCGGCGGACGGGUGAGUAACACGUGGAUAACCUACCUAUAAGACUGGGAUAACUUCGGGAAACCGGAGCUAAUACCGGAUAAUAUAUUGAACCGCAUGGUUCAAUAGUGAAAGACGGUUUUGCUGUCACUUAUAGAUGGAUCCGCGCCGCAUUAGCUAGUUGGUAAGGUAACGGCUUACCAAGGCAACGAUGCGUAGCCGACCUGAGAGGGUGAUCGGCCACACUGGAACUGAGACACGGUCCAGACUCCUACGGGAGGCAGCAGUAGGGAAUCUUCCGCAGUGGGCGAAAGCCUGACGGAGCAACGCCGCGUGAGUGAUGAAGGUCUUCGGAUCGUAAAACGCUGUUAUUAGGGAAGAACAAAUGUGUAAGUAACGAUGCACGUCUUGACGGUACCUAAUCAGAAAGCCACGGCUAACUACGU
rnacentral:rRNA from 1 species